GAUGAAGAACGUAGCAAAAUGCGAUAAGUAAUGUGAAUUGCAGAAUUCAGUGAAUCAUCGAAUCUUUGAACGCACAUUGCGCCCGCCAGUAUUCUGGCGGGCAUGUCUGUUCGAGCGUCAUUUCAACCCUCAAGCACAGCUUGGUGUUGGGACUCGCGUUAAUUCGCGUUCCCCAAAUUGAUUGGCGGUCACGUCGAGCUUCCAUAGCGUAGUAGUAAAACCCUCGUUACUGGUAAUCGUCGCGGCCACGCCGUUAAACCCCAACUUCUGAAUGUUGACCUCGGAUCAGGUAGGAAUACCCGCUGAACUUAAGCAUAUCAUAAGCGGAGGA
rnacentral:misc_RNA from 1 species